rnacentral:rRNA from 1 species
CGAUGCAACGCGAAAACCUUACCACCUUUGACAUGUACGGAAUCCUUUAGAGAUAGAGGAGUGCUCGAAAGAGAGCCGUAACACAGGUGCUGCAUGGCUGUCGUCAGCUCGUGUCGUGAGAUGUUGGGUUAAGUCCCGCAACGAGCGCAACCCUUGUCAUUAGUUGCUACAUUCAGUUGGGCACUCUAAUGAGACUGCCGGUGACAAACCGGAGGAAGGUGGGGAUGACGUCAAGUCCUCAUGGCCCUUAUAGGUGGGGCUACACACGUCAUACAAUGGAUGGUACAAAGGGUCGCCAACCCGCGAGGGGGAGCCAAUCCCAUAAAGCCAUUCGUAGUCCGGAUCGCAGUCUGCAACUCGACUGCGUGAAGUCGGAAUCGCUAGUAAUCGUGGAUCAGAGUGUCACGGUGAAUACGUUCCCGGGUCUU